rnacentral:misc_RNA from 1 species
GAUGAAGAACGCAGCGAAAUGCGAUAAGUAAUGCGAAUUGCAGAAUUUCCGUGAGUCAUCGAAUCUUUGAACGCACAUUGCGCCCGUCAGUAUUCUGGCGGGCAUGCCUGUUCGAGCGUCAUUACGCCCCUCAAGUCCCCUGUGGACUUGGUGUUGGGGAUCGGCGAGGCUGGUUUUCCAGCACAGCCGUCCCUUAAAUUAAUUGGCGGUCUCGCCGUGGCCCUCCUCUGCGCAGUAGUAAAACACUCGCAACAGGAGCCCGGCGCGGUCAUGCCGUAAAACACCCAACUUCUCAGGUUGACCUCAGAUCAGGUAGGAAUACCCGCUGAACUUAAGCAUAUCAAUAAGCGGAGGA